rnacentral:rRNA from 1 species
UACGGAGGGUGCAAGCGUUAUCCGGAUUCACUGGGUUUAAAGGGUGCGUAGGCGGGCAGGUAAGUCAGUGGUGAAAUCCUGCAGCUCAACUGUAGAAUUGCCAUUGAUACUGCCAUUCUUGAGUGCGCUUGAAGUAGGCGGAAUGUGCCGUGUAGCGGUGAAAUGCUUAGAUAUGGCACAGAACACCAAUUGCGAAGGCAGCUUACUAAGGCGAUACUGACGCUGAGGCACGAAAGCGUGGGGAUCGAACAGG